UGUGUCGCGAGACUUUGGGGAGCCGGUCCCGCGCGGAGUCUCCGGCGUUACCGCGAGGUUUCCCCUCCCCCCGCUCCAGCCCGGCUCUUCUCGGGAGGAGAGCGGCGGCGAAUUCUCGCGAGAUCACGCUCCCCCCCUCAACACACCACUUGCGCCGCGUUGUCCUUUUGUUCGCCGCCCUCGCGAGAGCGCCCCGCGCGAGCGCGCGGCGAGACGCCUCUAGAAGGAGGCGGGCCCUGAGUCACGUGGGCGGGCGCCGCCGCCAUCUUGUCGCUCCCCCCUCGGCGGGCAGUGGCGCAGCGCGUAAUGGCGGCGCGGCGGGAGGAGGGGCUGCUGUGUCCAGAAUACAUCGGCCUCCUUGUCCCCAGUGCUGGCCCCGACACACCAACCUGCGGCUCUGCAGGCGUCAGAGCGUACCCUGUGCUUACUACCCAGCGGCACGUGGCUGUGAGCCCCUCAUCCCAGGGUGGUGGGUUCCACUAGGCAUUACACAUACUCAUCAUCUCUUUCUCCAAGACCCUUAGCCAUCAAACAUACUGAUAUGCCAGAGGACUACCCUUAUUUUCCAUAUAGUGUCAGUUCUGUCAUCUAUCUCGACACUCACAUAUAGUCCCACCUUGAAUUCAUCAGAACUUUGAGCCUGUAAGCAUCGGUCAAAUAGUAAGCACUAAACUGCCUGUCAUUAGAAAAUAGAGAAAUAACCCCAUUCCCUCCUAUCACAGCCUGCUGACACAGAGAAUAGUAAAGCUGCUUCCGUGAAUCUGGGCUCUUGCCUCUUCCAAGAAGAAAACCACAGGAAAGUGCAUUCUCCAGGAGGAUGAUUCACCAUGGGAGUUAAAAACAAGACAGAACUUUUCCACACUAUUCAUGCAUUAAACAGCCCAUCUUUGCCUAGGUUUUCCUUAAAAUUUGAGCUCUAGAACCAGUCUUCCCAUUGCAGAAAUUGAGCCCCACGAUUUUUACAUCCCCAAACAAGUCCUUGAAUGAGCAGCACAUGCCCCUCAGAGACAAACUACUCAAUUCUGUGAUACUCUGGUCUUAAACAUUAACCAGUCCUCUGCUUUCACCUUCCAUAAUACUUCUAUAGCCAGCUACAGCUCCAGAGUUAAAGAUUUAUGCUUGUAUUUCCUCCCCAGGUGUACCUAUUUAUAUAAUAUAAAAGCUCACAGGUUUCUUCAUUGAGGUUGCCUGACAGUUAAAAG